rnacentral:rRNA from 1 species
UACGGGGGGAGCAAACGUUGUUCGGAAUCACUGGGCGUAAAGGGCGUGUAGGCGGCUGGAUAAGUGGGAUGUUAAAUCCCCCGGCUCAACCGGGGACCUGCACCUCAUACUGCACGGCUUGAGUACAUCAGAGGAGACUGGAAUUCCCGGUGUAGCAGUGAAAUGCGUAGAUAUCAAGAGGAACACCAGUGGCGAAGGCGAAUCUCUGGACAAUUCCUGACACUGAUGCUCGAAAGCUAGGGGAGCAAACGGG